AUUGAACGCUGGCGGUAUGCUUAACACAUGCAAGUCGAACGGUAGCAGGUCUUCGGAUGCUGACGAGUGGCGGACGGGUGAGUAACGCGUAGGAAUCUGCCUAUUAGUGGGGGACAACGUGUGGAAACGCACGCUAAUACCGCAUACGCCCUACGGGGGAAAGGAGGGGAUCUUCGGACCUUUCGCUAAUAGAUGAGCCUGCGUUAGAUUAGCUAGUUGGUGGGGUAAAGGCCUACCAAGGCGACGAUCUAUAGCUGUUCUGAGAGGAAGAUCAGCCACACUGGGACUGAGACACGGCCCAGACUCCUACGGGAGGCAGCAGUGGGGAAUAUUGGACAAUGGGCGAAAGCCUGAUCCAGCAAUACCGCGUGUGUGAAGAAGGCCCUAGGGUUGUAAAGCACUUUCAAUUGGGAGGAAAAAACAAGGAUUAAUACCCCUUGUCUUGACAUUACCUUUAGAAGAAGCACCGGCUAACUCCGUGCCAGCAGCCGCGGUAAUAC
rnacentral:rRNA from 1 species